rnacentral:rRNA from 1 species
GUGGGGAAUAUUGGACAAUGGGCGAAAGCCCGAUCCAGCCAUGCCGCGUGUGUGAAGAAGGUCUUCGGAUUGUAAAGCACUUUAAGUUGGGAGGAAGGGCAGUAAGCUAAUACCUUGCUGUUUUGACGUUACCGACAGAAUAAGCACCGGCUAACUUCGUGCCAGCAGCCGCGGUAAUACGAAGGGUGCAAGCGUUAAUCGGAAUUACUGGGCGUAAAGCGCGCGUAGGUGGUUCAGCAAGUUGGAGGUGAAAUCCCCGGGCUCAACCUGGGAACUGCCUCCAAAACUACUGAGCUAGAGUACGGUAGAGGGUAGUGGAAUUUCCUGUGUAGCGGUGAAAUGCGUAGAUAUAGGAAGGAACACCAGUGGCGAAGGCGACUACCUGGACUGAUACUGACACUGAGGUGCGAAAGCGUGGGGAGCAAACAGGAUUAGAUACCCUAGUAGUCC